CAAUAGCGUAUAUUAAAGUUGUUGCGGUUAAAAAGCUCGUAGUUGGAUUUCUGUUGGGAACGACCGGUCCGCCCAUUGGGUGUGUAUCUGGCUUGUUCUCGGCAUCUUCUUGGUGAACGUUGCUGCACUUGACUGUGUGGAGCGCUACCCAGGACUUUUACUUUGAGGAAAUUAGAGUGUUUCAAGCAGGCAUAUGCCUUGAAUACAUUAGCAUGGAAUAAUAAGAUAGGACCUCGGUUCUAUUUUGUUGGUUUCUAGAGCUGAGGUAAUGAUUAAUAGGGAUAGUUGGGGGCAUUCGUAUUUAACUGUCAGAGGUGAAAUUCAUGGAUUUGUUAAAGACGGACUACUGCGAAAGCAUUUGCCAAGGAUGUUUUCAUUGA
rnacentral:rRNA from 1 species